UUUCCGUAGGUGAACCUGCGGAAGGAUCAUUCAUAAUAAGUGUUUUAUGGCACUUUUUUAAAUCCAUAUCCACCUUGUGUGCAAUGUCUGGGAUGAUUUUUCUCUCGAGAGGCUCAGCCCCAAACAUCAACUAUAUCUCAACUCUUUGUCUGAAAAAUAUUAUGCAUAAAACAAUUCAAAAUACAACUUUCAACAACGGAUCUCUUGGCUCUC
rnacentral:misc_RNA from 1 species